CAAUUAUCAAGAACCGAAGACAUAUACUACUAUUGGUUGAAUAUAACAUGCUAUACAAAACUUCUUAAAUAGAAGAAGGUAUAAAAUUUUAAUAGCAUGAGUUUGAAUGUUAUUUUGAUUGUUUUGAAAGACUCAAAGGGUGAGUCGUGUUGUACUUCGGUCUAUUAUACCGUUGGUCGAGGAUAAGACGAUAGAUUCAAGUUCUAUUGCACC
rnacentral:lncRNA from 1 species